rnacentral:tRNA from 2 species
GAAGGCUUUAGCUUAAUUAAAGUGUCUGUUUUGCAUGCAGGAGCUGUGGGUUAAUGCCCCGCAAGUCUUA